rnacentral:SRP_RNA from 1 species
GCCGGGCGUGGUGGCGCGCGCCUGUAAUCCCAGCUACUCGGGAGGCUGAGGCAGGAGAAUCUCUUGGACCCAGGAGGCGGAGGUUGCUGUGAGCCGAGAUCGCGCCACUGUACUCCAGCCUGGGCUACAGAGCGAGACUCUGUCUCGA